AGGAGGAACAGCCCCAUUGGCGGGGCAGCUCUGGAAACCUGGAUUCAGCCCCGGCAGGAACUCCGUCUGCAGGGCCUGGAGGCUCCGGGGCGGG
rnacentral:pre_miRNA from 1 species